rnacentral:rRNA from 1 species
UACGUAGGGACCGAGCGUUGUUCGGAUUUACUGGGCGUAAAGGGCGCGUAGGCGGCGCGGUAAGUCACUUGUGAAAUCUCUGAGCUUAUCUCAGAACGGCCAAGUGAUACUGCAGUGCUAGAGUGUGGAAGGGGCAAUCGGAAUUCUUGGUGUAGCGGUGAAAUGCGUAGAUAUCAAGAGGAACACCUGAGGUGAAGACGGGUUGCUGGGCCAACACUGACGCUGAGGCGCGAAAGCCAGGGGAGCAAACGGG